rnacentral:rRNA from 1 species
GACGAACGCUGGCGGCGUGCCUAAUACAUGCAAGUCGAGCGGACCGAACAGGAGCUUGCCUUUGUUCGGUUGGCGGCGGACGGGUGAGUAACACGUGGGUAACCGGCCCGUAGGACCGGGAUAACUCCGGGAAACCGGAGCUAAUACCGGAUAACACCGAAGACCGCAUGGUCUUUGGUUGAAAGGCGGCUCCGGCUGCCACUUACGGAUGGGCCCGCGGCGCAUUAGCUAGUUGGGGAGGUAACGGCUCACCAAGGCGACGAUGCGUAGCCGGCCUGAAAGGGGGACCGGCCACACUGGGACUGAGACACGGCCCAGACUCCUACGGGAGGCAGCAGUAGGGAAUCUUCCGCAAUGGACGAAAGUCUGACGGAGCGACGCCGCGGGAGCGAAGAAGGUCUUCGGAUCGUAAAGCUCUGUUGUUAGGGAAGAAGAAGCGUCGUUCGAACAGGGCGGCGCGGUGACGGUACCUAACGAGAAAGCCCCGGCUAACUACGUG